GAUGAACGCUGGCGGCGUGCCUAAUACAUGCAAGUCGAGCGAACGGACGAGAAGCUUGCUUCUCUGAUGUUAGCGGCGGACGGGUGAGUAACACGUGGAUAACCUACCUAUAAGACUGGGAUAACUUCGGGAAACCGGAGCUAAUACCGGAUAAUAUUUUGAACCGCAUGGUUCAAAAGUGAAGGACGGUCUUGCUGUCACUUAUAGAUGGAUCCGCGCUGCAUUAGCUAGUUGGUAAGGUAACGGCUUACCAAGGCAACGAUGCAUAGCCGACCUGAGAGGGUGAUCGGCCACACUGGAACUGAGACACGGUCCAGACUCCUACGGGAGGCAGCAGUAGGGAAUCUUCCGCAAUGGGCGAAAGCCUGACGGAGCAACGCCGCGUGAGUGAUGAAGGUCUUCGGAUCGUAAAACCCUGUUAUUAGGGAAGAACAUAUGUGUAAGUAACUGUGCACAUCUUGACGGUACCUAAUCAGAAAGCCACGGCUAACUACGUG
rnacentral:rRNA from 1 species